GAGCACUUCUCACCCCCAGGUUCCUCUACGACUUCUACCACUACUUCUUCAUGCUGACCAACGCACUCUUCUAUGUCAGCUCCACCGUCAACCCUAUCCUCUACAACCUGGUCUCCGCCAACUUCCGUGAGAUCUUCCUGUCCACCCUGGCCUGCCUCUGUCCCACAUGGCGGCGCGGGAGGAAGGGGCCAACCUUCUCCAGGAAGCCCAACAGUGUGUCCAGCAACCACGCCUACUCCAGCAGCGCCACCCGGGAGACGCUGUACUAGGGUCCAGCGGGAGCUUCGAGGCCUAAGGAGGCUGGGAGCAGGCGGCAGCCCCACCCAGGGCCUCCAGGGCCCGGCCAGCGGCCAGCUCACCUGGGCCUGGGCCCAGCACCCUCACCACAGAGGCUUCUUUCCCCAACCCCAUCCCCGCUUCUUCAUCCCCUGCCUUUAAAAGCCAGAUGGAGACUUUGUUCACCUCCCAGAUCCAAAAUCAGCCUUUCACAGGACAGCCAGUGCUCAGUGGGGGGGCAGCUUCUUUGUCUCCAGGUUAAUGGAUGGCCAGAAAGGACAUGAAAGGAGCCCCCGGGCCCGGCCUGGGCAGCUGGGCUGUGUCUCCCCAGGGCGCUUCAGUGCACGCACUAGGUCUCACCACAGGACCCCAGCCACCGCCCACCCCAGGGGUGAACUGCCAGGAGAGGUCACCCAGCCCGGCAUGGGCUCCAUCCUGGCCUCCCUCUGCCUCUGGUUCAGGGUGAGUCCAUUUCAAGGUCCAGUAAGUGCCACAUCCUGGGCCUCACACCCAGACCCUUCCGUGGGGUCAGACCAGCCCCUGAUACUCUUCUUCAGGCCUGAGGACCAUGCUGGGUGUGAGGGGACCCCUCCUACUUGCCCUCACCCUGGUGACCACAGAAGAAGCUCAGGCUCCAACUGAUACGUCCAUAAAGAGCCAGCCUGGACUCUCCAGCCCAGGGCCUCCCCUCCUGCUGGCCUGACCUUUCCCUGGGGGCCCUGCAGGGACAUCCUGCAGGAGGGGCCGAGACCCCACAGGUGCAGAGGGAAUUGCAGAUCGGGGUGUCUGCCUCCCCCCCAGGUGUCCUGGUCAUUCAGCACACUCGGAGCCUCGAGUCUCGGACAAACCCGAGCAGGCUGAGGACCGGCAGGCAGCAGCCUGGGAUGGCUUUGGGGGCAGGGGGUGGCCUAAGCAGUGGGAAGGCAUAGGCCAGGGCUGCUGGGACCAUGUCCUGUGUAAGGUGCCAGGUGCCCAGGGCUGGCCGCAGGUCAGGAGCCUGCUCCAGGCACCCUGCUGGCCAGCAGCCCGAGGCUGAGACACGGUUCAUUUGUCACCAGCCGCCAGGCAGCAGCCCUGGCCCCAGGCUCCGGCGCCUGGAAGAGCCUGCCAGCGGGCGCCUCCCUGGUCCCUAGGAGCUGUCUCCAAACAGGACAGAACCUGCCCAGGCCCCCUGCCGAGAAGGUUCCUGAGCCCUGAGACAGAUCCCAGGAUGAGCUGCCUGGACCAGCAGGUGCAAAGUGCCAGGAAGCAAGACGGAGCCCGUUUAAAAGUAGCUUCUGCCGUCUUGGGUCCCCUUGCCCAGGAGGGGAACAGGUGGAUGGGCAGACAGGCUGCAAAGCAGCACUGUCUUGGGACACAGGGAUCCCGCUGUGGCCACCCGGCUCAGGCCACUCUGCUAUCAACUGGAGUGCUCUUUGGACCCCACGGAAUCCCGCUGUAAGCCCCAUGACCUUUCAGGUCACCAAGGGCAGGCCUAGGCAAGUCAGGCCCAUCUGCUCCUUCACCCCAGUGCCCACCACAGGGUCUGCCCUGCCCGCUCUGGGGUUCUGAGGGCAGGGCAGCACCACCCUAGGCAGUGGUGGGUGAGGCUGGGCGCUGGCACCAGACAUCUGAGCACACUCACACAGUCCACCCAGAGACCCCUCCCGGACUGCAGAUGUUGGCAUGACUCCUCUGAGCCUCAGACUCCCGUCCAGGAGCAGACCUGACCAUCCCACCUCAGACUGCUGGGACUGUCCUGGAGACAGGAGGGACACACCCUGAGAUAAGGCCCAGUCCACCAGAGCACUGGAGGCGGGUCUGCGUGGAGGGUCUGGGCUGUGACCAGUGUCUGGCCAGGUCAUCAUCUCAGUCCUGAGUGCUGAACGUGGGUGGGCACGUGUCCAUGCAGUGCCACACACGCCCGUGACACUGAUGGGAUCCCAGCCCUGAGUGCUGUGGGCAUGUCUCCCACAGAGACCAGAGUCCCAUGAGCCCAGUAUUGAUGGCAAAACCCACUGUGUAACUCCAGUGUCCCUCGGAAUGUCCCCACCCCACCACUCUGCAGUUGAAGAAGCCCCCAUAUCUCAAUAAAGGACCCUGUGGACCCCAAGUUG
rnacentral:lncRNA from 1 species